rnacentral:rRNA from 1 species
ACGAAGGUGGCUAGCGUUAUUCGGAUUUACUGGGCAUAAAGCGCGCGUAGGCGGCUUGGUCAGUCGGAGGUGAAAGCCCGCAGCUCAACUGCGGAAUUGCCCCCGAUACUGCCGAGCUUGAGUGCAGGAGGGGUGACUGGAACUCCAGGUGUAGCGGUGAAAUGCGUAGAUAUCUGGAGGAACACCAGAGGCGAAGGCGGGUCACUGGACUGCAACUGACGCUGAGGUGCGAAAGCUAGGGUAGCGAACAGG